GCUUGAGUCAGGGUCAUAACAAUAAUGGCUUAAGUUUACUGAGCUCUUUUUUACUAUAUGCCAGGCAGUAUUCUCAAUAUUUUGCAUGUAUUAAGUGAUUUCAUUUUCUCAACACCCCUAUGAAGCAAAUACUUCUGUGAGCCCCAUGUUACAAAUGGAGAAACCAAGGCUCAUGGAGAUUAACAUAUCUCAUUUUGGACUAGCCAUCUUUCAAGAGCUCAACAGCCACGUGCUAUUAAUGGCUACCACAUUAAAGGCUCCAAGUCUAGAUGGAAAAUAAACAAGUAAACCUAUAAACACAGUUAAUAGAUGUUUUUCAGCUGCAAUCUGUACUGUGACUGGAAUGAGAAAGCCUUAAUUCAUACCAUCUUCCGAUGAUACAAGACAAGCAAGUUUGUAAUUUAAUAAACGCAGUCAAACCUGACCUUUGCAAUGAACAACAAACAUCUUGUAGCCUGAAAUUUAGUCCCAAAAACUUGCCAGAGACACUGGAUAAUACUAUACCUUGAUUCUUCUGCACAUAAAGUCCUGGGCAUACAAUUUCAAAUGUGUGUCUCGAGCCUUCCCAUAAAAGAUAAUUAUGGAGUUCUUCCUUCUAAGAUAUUAAGAUAAUUAGAAUGAUGUCUCACAAAAAAAAACAUGGCUUGUCAAGAUGGACCCAAUAUGUCAGGAGAUAGCUUAUUAAAAGGAUGAAUUACAUGAAAAGUAACUUGGGACCAGCCAGAUGGAAGUUGUCACCUGAUGCUUUUACCAUGGUGAAAGAGCUGCCUAAAUGAAGAAAU
rnacentral:lncRNA from 1 species